rnacentral:rRNA from 1 species
GUGGGCAACCUGCCCUCAGCUCUGGGAUAACUCCAAGAAAUUGGUGCUAAUACCGGAUGUGACCGCUGACCGCAUGGUCUGGUGGUGGAAAGAUUCAUCGGCUGAGGAUGGGCCCGCGGCCUAUCAGCUUGUUGGUGGGGUCACGGCCCACCAAGGCGACGACGGGUAGCCGGCCUGAGAGGGUGACCGGCCACACUGGGACUGAGACACGGCCCAGACUCCUACGGGAGGCAGCAGUGGGGAAUAUUGCGCAAUGGGCGAAAGCCUGACGCAGCGACGCCGCGUGAGGGAUGACGGCCUUCGGGUUGUAAACCUCUUUCAGUAGGGACGAAGCGAAAGUGACGGUACCUACAGAAGAAGCACCGGCCAACUACGUGCCAGCAGCCGCGGUAAUACGUAGGGUGCAAGCGUUGUCCGGAAUUAUUGGGCGUAAAGAGCUCGUAGGCGGUCUGUCGCGUCGGCUGUGAAAACCCGAGGCUCAACCUCGGGCCUGCAGUCGAUACGGGCAAACUAGAGUACUGCAGGGGAGACUGGAAUUCCUGGUGUAGCGGUGAAAUGCGCAGAUAUCAGGAGGAACACCGGUGGCGAAGGCGGGUCUCUGGGCAGUAACUGACGCUGAGGAGCGAAAGCGUGGGGAGCGAACAGGAUUAGAUACCCUGGUAGUCCACGCCGUAAACGUUGGGCGCUAGGUGUGGGGGCCAUUCCACGGUCUCCGUGCCGCAGCUAACGCAUUAAGCGCCCCGCCUGGGGAGUACGGCCGCAAGGCUAAAACUCAAAGGAAUUGACGGGGGCCCGCACAAGCGGCGGAGCAUGUUGCUUAAUUCGAUGCAACGCGAAGAACCUAACCUAGGCUUGACAUGCACGGAAAUCUGUCAGAGAUGGCAGGUCCUUUAAAGGGUCGUGCACAGGUGGUGCAUGGUUGUCGUCAGCUCGUGUCGUGAGAUGUUGGGUUAAGUCCCGCAACAGAGCGCAACCCUCGUUCUAUGUUGCCAGCACGUGAUGGUGGGGACUCAUAGGAGACUGCCGGGGUCAACUCGGAGGAAGGUGGGGAUGACGUCAAAUCAUCAUGCCCCUUAUGUCUAGGGCUGCAAACAUGCUACAAUGGCCGGUACAAAGGGCUGCGAUACCGCGAGGUGGAGCGAAUCCCAAAAAGCCGGUCUCAGUUCGGAUUGGGGUCUGCAACUCGACCCCAUGAAGUUGGAGUCGCUAGUAAUCGCAGAUCAGCAACGCUGCGGUGAAUACGUUCCCGGGCCUUGUACACACCGCCCGUCACGUCACGAAACUCGGGAACCCCCGAAGCCGGUGGCCCUACCCUUG